UACGGGGGGGGCAAGCGUUGUUCGGAAUUACUGGGCGUAAAGGGCUCGUAGGUGGCCAACUAAGUCAGACGUGAAAUCCCUCGGCUUAACCGGGGAACUGCAUCUGAUACUGGAUGGCUUGAGUUUGGGAGAGGGAUGCGGAAUUCCAGGUGUAGCGGUGAAAUGCGUAGAUAUCUGGAGGAACAUCAGUGGCGAAGGCGGCCUUCUGGUCCAGUACUGACACUCAAGUGCGAAAGCGUGGGGAGCAAACAGG
rnacentral:rRNA from 1 species